GCCGAGGUAGCUCAGUCGGUAGAGCAGAGGACUGAAAAUCCUCGUGUCGGCGGUUCGAUUCCGUCCCUCGGCACCA
rnacentral:tRNA from 6 species